GGGGAAUUUUCUGCGGCUGUCCCAAGUGAGCCUGAGGUUCGGCUAGCCAUAAAACCCGGUUCAAUUCACCAUUUUCUACAUAAGAAAAUGCCUGUACGAUUCGGAAUAUAACAGUUGUUAUCCAUUUGUUUGAUUUUGCCGUUUGAUUUCGGACUUUCCGUUUUUUAAUUUCCUUGGAGUCGGUUUUUUUUUUUUGGUUAUUUUACUUUUUAUUAGCACUUUCUUUAAUCUUUUGCUUAACUCAUGUAUUAAAUAAUUGUUUUCCUGCUAAAUUUUAAUAAUUUAAAUCAGAGACAUAUAUACACAUAUGUCUCUGUUUAAAUAUACAUUUUUGUCUCCUUUUUUACCCCUUUUCUCCUUUCUCCUACCCCUUCUCUCCUUUCUCCCGCCCCUUUUCUCCUUUCUCCCACCCCCUCUCUCCCUGUCUCCCUUUACCCUUUCCGCCCUCUCAU
rnacentral:lncRNA from 1 species